ACGGAAGGCAGCAGUGGGGGAUAUUGCACAAUGGGGGAAACCCUGAUGCAGCGACGCCGCGUGAGUGAUGAAGUAUUUCGGUAUGUAAAGCUCUAUCAGCAGGAAAGAUAAUGACGGUACCUGACUAAGAGGCACCGGCUAAAUACGUGCCAGCAGCCGCGGUAAUACGUAUGGUGCAAGCGUUAUCCGGAUUUACUGGGUGUAAAGGGAGCGCAGACGGCAUGGCAAGCCAGAUGUGAAAGGCAGGGGCUCAACUCCUGGACUGCAUUUGGAACUGUCAAGCUAAAGUAUCGGAGAGGUAAGUGGAAUUCCUAGUGUAGCGGUGAAAUGCGUAGAUAUUAGGAGGAACACCAGUGGCGAAGGCGGCUUACUGGACGAUAACUGACGUUGAGGCUCGAAAGCGUGGGGAGCAAACAGGAUUAGAUACCCUGGUA
rnacentral:rRNA from 1 species